rnacentral:rRNA from 1 species
UACGGGGGGGGCAAGCGUUGUUCGGAAUUACUGGGCGUAAAGGGCGCGUAGGCGGCCUGCUAAGUCGGAUGUGAAAUCCCUCGGCUCAACCGAGGAACUGCAUCCGAUACUGGCGGGCUUGAAUCCGGGAGAGGGAUGUGGAAUUCCAGGUGUAGCGGUGAAAUGCGUAGAUAUCUGGAGGAACACCGGUGGCGAAGGCGGCAUCCUGGACCGACACUGACGCUGAUGAGCGAAAGCCAGGGGAGCAAACGGG